GGGGAAUUUUCCGCAAUGGGCGAACGCCUGACGGAGCAGGACCGCGUGGGGGAUGAAGGUUUGUGGAUUGUAAACCCCUUUUGAUUGGGAAGAAUACUGACGGUACCAAUCGAAUAAGCCUCGGCUAACUCCGUGCCAGCAGCCGCGGUAAUACGGAGGAGGCAAGCGUUAUCCGGAAUUAUUGGGCGUAAAGCGUCCGUAGGUGGUUUAGUAAGUCUGCUGUUAAAGCGCGGGGCUUAACUCCGNUAUCGGCAGUGGAAACUACUAGACUAGAGUGUGGUAGGGGUAGAGGGAAUUCCCAGUGUAGCGGUGAAAUGCGUAGAUAUUGGGAAGAACACCGGUGGCGAAAGCGCUCUACUGGGCCAUAACUGACACUGAUGGACGAAAGCUAGGGGAGCGAAAGGGAUUANAUACCCCUGNUAGUC
rnacentral:rRNA from 1 species